CCUACGGGUGGCAGCAGUGAGGAAUAUUGGUCAAUGGGCGCGAGCCUGAACCAGCCAAGUCGCGUGAGGGAAGACGGCCCUACGGGUUGUAAACUUCUUUUGCCGGGGACGAAGCUAGUGACGGUACCUGACGUAUAAGCCACGGCUUACUACGUGCUAGCAGCCGCGGUAAUACGUAGGUGGCAAGCGUUAUCCGGUUUUACUGGGUGUAAAGGGCGUGUAGGCGGGACUGCAAGUCAGUUGUGAAAGCCACGGGCUCAACCUGUAGCCUGCAUUUGAAACUGUAGUUCUUGAGUACUGGAGAGGCAGACGGAAGUCCUAGUGUAGCGGUGAAAUGCGUAGAUAUUAGGAGGAACACCAGUGGCGAAGGCAGUCUGCUGGACAGCAACUGACGCUGAGGCGCGAAAGCGUGGGGAGCAAACAGGAUUAGAUACCCUGGUAGUC
rnacentral:rRNA from 1 species